UUUGUUUUUUAAUUAAAAACUAGAAUGAAAGGUUAAACAUUUAAAUUUCUUUAUUAAAUUGUAUUCUUUAACUUAUAUUAAGUAUAAAAAUAUAUUUUUAAAAAAAAAAGACGACAAGACCCUAUUAAACUUAACUUAUGUUAAACUGGGGCAGUUUUCUAAUAAAAAUUUUAGUACUAUUAUUUUAAUAGAUGAAAAUCUAAUAAUAUUAAAUAAACAAGUUACUAUAGGGAUAACAGCGUUAUACUUUUUAAAAGUUCAUAUUUAAAACAGUGAUUGCGACCUCGAUGUUGAAUUAUAUUUCUAUAAUAAAGCAAACAUUUUAUAAGUAGGUCUGUUCGACCUUUAAAAUAUUACAUGAUCUGAK
rnacentral:rRNA from 1 species